rnacentral:rRNA from 1 species
AUUAGAGGAAGUAAAAGUCGUAACAAGGUUUCCGUAGGUGAACCUGCGGAAGGAUCAUUAACGAGAUGUGUGGGGCCGCCCCCGCGCGGGCGGCCCGCGCCUCCCCACCCCGUGCGUAUGCACCUUCUCCCGCACGACGUCGGUCGCCCCGCGGCGCCCGACCCACCGAAACUCUAUGCCCCUGCGCAACCGUGCCGUCUGAGCUUCAGCGAGCAAUCGAACGAAAACUUUCAACAACGGAUCUCUUGGUUCUGGCAUCGAUGAAGAACGCAGCGAAAUGCGAUAAGUAAUGUGAAUUGCAGAAUUCAGUGAAUCAUCGAAUCUUUGAACGCACAUUGCGCCCCCUGGCAUUCCGGGGGGCAUGCCUGUUCGAGCGUCAUGACACCCUUCGAGCCCCCGCGGCUUGGUGCUGGGCCCCCUCGCCCCGGCAGGGGCGGGCCCGAAAGUCAGUGGCGGCGCGGCCGGGCUUCGAGCGUAGUAACCGUCUCGCCGCUCUGGAAGCCUCCGGUCGGGCCCGCCAGGCAACCCCCGUACACGCCACCGUUGACCUCGGAUCAGGUAGGGAUACCCGCUGAACUUAAGCUACAAAAGGGCGGGGA